GACGAACGCUGGCGGCGUGCUUAACACAUGCCAGUCGAACGGAAAGGCCCUGCUUUUGUGGGGUGCUCGAGUGGCGAACGGGUGAGUAACACGUGAGUAACCUGCCCUUGACUUUGGGAUAACUUCAGGAAACUGGGGCUAAUACCGGAUAGGAGCUCCUGCUGCAUGGUGGGGGUUGGAAAGUUUCGGCGGUUGGGGAUGGACUCGCGGCUUAUCAGCUUGUUGGUGGGGUAGUGGCUUACCAAGGCUUUGACGGGUAGCCGGCCUGAGAGGGUGACCGGCCACAUUGGGACUGAGAUACGGCCCAGACUCCUACGGGAGGCAGCAGUGGGGAAUAUUGCACAAUGGGCGGAUGCCUGAUGCAGCAACGCCGCGUGCGGGAUGACGGCCUUCGGGUUGUAAACCGCUUUCGCCUGUGACGAAGCGUGAGUGACGGUAAUGGGUAAAGAAGCACCGGCUAACUACGUG
rnacentral:rRNA from 1 species